AAGAAAUUAGUUAAAAAAUAACAUAAAAUUGUCAUUUUUAAGUUACUUACUCAAAGUAUUUCUUU
rnacentral:tRNA from 1 species